GUCUUUUGUUAUAACACCACACCACAUCAGAGCACUGGAGAAAGUCCCUUCUUUCUGAUGUUUGGCCAACAACCUAGGCUUCCUUUAGAUUUUCUUCUCGGCCAUGUAUUGGAACCAAGUGCUGGCAGUGUUAACAAGUGGGUUGCAGAGCACCAGAUGCGCUUGAAACUGGCUUUUGAGGAAGCAAGGGAGAAGCUGAAGACUGCUGCAGAUAGGAGAAAGAGAAAUAAUGACCAGCAUGUUCAAGACUCUCCUCUGCAUGAAGGCCAACUUGUCCUACUUCGAAACACCAGUCACCAGGGAAGACACAAAAUUCAAGAUCUGUGGCGCUCCAAGGUGUAUAAGGUCCUGAAAGUACUGGGUGACACUGGAGCAGUUUACACUGUUGCUCCUGCAGAUGAAUUGAACAAAACGAAAAGAGUCCAUCGGUCUCUAUUGAAGCCAGUUGUUUGUAGUGAUGUCCCAGCAUCACCUCGUGGGGAACCACUGUUGAAUGAUUCAUCCUCUGAGGAUGAAUAUGAUCCUGAUUUGUUUUUGAAGGUAAAUGUCCACCAGGCAGCACCUUCUUUGCCCGCCGACCCACAAAUGGUCAGAAAUGACACUGUUCCUUUGUCCUCUGGGGCAUCCCAUCAUGAAGCUCCUUCAACAUCUGCAUCUCAAACUCCUAGUGUUGCCAGCUCAAGUAAUGAUCAGGGCCCUCCGAGGGUGAUGAGGAGAACUACACGUUCAACAGCAGGUCAGCACUCCAAUGUCCACCAUCUCCCAAGACCAAUGGCACUAGCGCAUGGGGCUGCAAACUCUCAUGAUUCAAAUUGCAAUGCCGUUUCUGCAGUAUUUAGACCUUGGUGCUAGUAUUUUUAGGGGUCGUCGUCGGGGCGUCGACGCAAGUUGGGGGGGUAGACUGUAGCAGCAUAAAUGGUGCGCUGCCACUUUAAGGCCAAUUUCAGCUGCUGCAUAUAAGCAAGCCUUCACCUGUCAUGAGGCUGCUUGCGUCGUGACGUCAACCAAAUCUGCUUCCUUUGUUUGCACUGUUCUGGCCUCCUUUGCGGCACCUUCAAUAUUUGGACCGAUCUGUCCGUUUAUUCAUUUGCUGACAGGAAGUUGCACUACAUCUAGGUGGAAUUGGGGAUCUGAUUAU